UAUGCUAGUGAAGUGUUCUGGUUUUUAAAUAUCAAGUUGGCAACCCUAGUUGGCAUGGUAGGUCCUGGCUUGAGGGUAAUGCCUAAACAGGUCAAUCUGGGACAGCAGUCUGACUCUAGCUAAUGGGGUGAUGAAGGAGACAUUGCCACAUUGUCUCUGCUAGCUAGCUUGCUGGGAGAUCCUUUAUCUCAGCAGUUCUCAACCAGGAGUCUGGGGCCUCCUGGGGGGCUAUAAGCAGGUUUUAGGGUGUCUGCCAAAAUAAACCAGAGAGCAGGGCCAGCGUUAGACUCACUGUGGCCCAGGGUGGAAAGCCGAAUCCUGAGCCUGUUGCCCAAGCUGAAGCCGAAUCCUGAGCCUCUUAACUUUCUGAGGCUGUCCGUGCUAUGGGGCCCUAGGCCAUUGCUUUGCUUGCUACCUCCUAACUCGGGCCCUGGCUUUUAAUCUACUGAAAAACAGUUGUUGUGGCACAGGUGGGGCCAUGGAAUUUUUAUAGCAUGUUGGGUGGUGGCUCAGAAAGAAAAAGGUUGAAAAGUCCUGCUUUAGGUGGAGCCACCUGGGACCUGUGUGAUGAAGAAGCUGCCCUAUAAACACUUCUGUUGCAAGGGCUCCUGCCUCUGAUGUCUAGUUUGACUUGAGGCCUAACUUGGCCUCCACUCCCUCUGGUUGCUUUCUACCAGAACUGGGUCCAUGCUGUGUUCUGAAGGUAGCACAUGGGCUGGGCAUAGGAACUUUGUUCCCAAAGAACCUCUGACUCUUUUUUUUUUUUUUUCCCUGGUGGGGCUAGCUGGCAGCCUUGGGUGGGACUAAAACUAUGUUCUUUGCUGUUGCCUCAUGUGGGAUCAAGAAUUCUGGGCUGGUGCAGGGUUUUUUGCCAUUAUUUCAUGAUAGGUUUCCUUACUAUCAGGUGUUUCUCUCUGUCUUAUUGGCAUCCAUCUGGUCAUCAUUUGUCAGUUUAAAAGUAUUUCUUAAAUCUGUUCCUAGUAUGGUGAUUUGCCUUUACGCUCAAGUAGUAAGUUUGAGUAAUGAGCAUUUGUGUCAAGACUCAGUAGAAGGUAACUUUACUUAAAUCCGUGCAUUUACCAUUCUGUAUAAAUAUGUGUAAGUCUACAACAUUUAUGGAUUAGAUAAUGUUUAAACUCUUCAUCUUGAAAGGAAAUACCAGCUAGAAAACUGCUGUGCAUUUUCAGGUAGCAGUUGGUUUGACAAUAGCCUAGGAUUAUGGCGGACAGUAAACCAUUGUAGAAUAGAGCAGGGAGUUCUGAGUAUAAGAAGUAGGAUGGGUUCUGCUGUUGGUGAAAAGCCCAUCUGUGAUGUGCUUUACCCAUACAGUGUGUGCAUCACCAUCACGGGAUCCUUUGGUCUUUGUUCUGUCUCCUUCGGCUUCCA